GGUGAACGCUGGCGGCGUGCCUAAGACAUGCAAGUCGAGCGGUGCAGGUUUAUAUCUGUUCAGCGGCGGACGGGCGAGUAACGCGUGGAUGACCUACCCGGAAGAGGCGGACAGCCUGGGGAAACCCAGGCUAAUCCGCCAUGUGGUCCUGUCCGGUGGGGCAGGACUACAGGGGCGACCCGCUUCCGGCUGGGCCCUUGUCCCAUCAGCUAGUGGGUGGGGUGAAGGCUCACCAAGGCGACGACGGGUAGGCGGUCUGAGAGGAUGGCCGGGCACAGGGGCACUGAGACACGGGCGACACUGCUACGGGAGGCAGCAGGUAGUGAUCGUCCGCAAUGGACGGAAGUCUGACGGAGGGACGCCGCGUGGAGGAGGAAGCCCUUCGGGGUGUAAACUCCUGAACUGGGGACGAAAGCAACGUGUAGGGGGAUGACGGUACCCAGGUAAGAGCGCCGGCCAACUCCGUG
rnacentral:rRNA from 1 species